CCGGCGCACGGGUGAGUAACACGUAUCCAACCUGCCGUCUACUCUUGGACAGCCUUCUGAAGGAAGAUUAAUACAAGAUGGCAUCAUGAGUCCGCAUGUUCACAUGAUUAAAGGUAUUCCGGUAGACGAUGGGGAUGCGUUCCAUUAGAUAGUAGGCGGGGUAACGGCCCACCUAGUCUUCGAUGGAUAGGGGUUCUGAGAGGAAGGUCCCCCACAUUGGAACUGAGACACGGUCCAAACUCCUACGGGAGGCAGCAUG
rnacentral:rRNA from 1 species